rnacentral:rRNA from 1 species
UGGGGAAUAUUGCACAAUGGGCGCAAGCCUGAUGCAGCCAUGCCGCGUGUGUGAAGAAGGCCUUCGGGUUGUAAAGCACUUUCAGCGAGGAGGAAGGGUAGUGUGUUAAUAGCACAUUGCAUUGACGUUACUCGCAGAAGAAGCACCGGCUAACUCCGUGCCAGCAGCCGCGGUAAUACGGAGGGUGCAAGCGUUAAUCGGAAUUACUGGGCGUAAAGCGCACGCAGGCGGUUUGUUAAGUCAGAUGUGAAAUCCCCGCGCUUAACGUGGGAACUGCAUUUGAAACUGGCAAGCUAGAGUCUUGUAGAGGGGAGUAGAAUUCCAGGUGUAGCGGUGAAAUGCGUAGAGAUCUGGAGGAAUACCGGUGGCGAAGGCGGCCCCCUGGACAAAGACUGACGCUCAGGUGCGAAAGCGUGGGGAGCAAACA